GCCCCCACUGGUGGGUGAUCUUUCAGCCAUCCCGAGCGGCUGCCACAGUCCCUCCUCCGGCCCCCAUUGGCCGCCGCCCACACCUUUGAGGAAAUAAAAAGCCAGGAGGUGGAGAAGACGGGUAACCUGGCCGCCGUGACCACUGCUCUGGACCCUCCCUGGUACCUCAGAGACCCGCCCGGGGACCAUUCCUACCAGGAUGGGGAAGGUCCUGCUGUCACUGCUGGGCCUGUCUGGCCUGAUCUUCCUGUCGGUGGACUACUUUGUUUGGUCCAGCAUGCAGGGUUGCCUGAAGAACUGCCACAACCAAAUUUCAUUUCUUGGGAGACAGAGGGUGAUCAGAUUCUGCUGCGACCACGAAGACUUCUGCAAUGUCAUCACAUAACCGGGCCUGCUCCGGACCCUGGACACCUGCCCCAACUUGACCCCCUCCCCCUGCCCCGCAACCUUGCCCCACUGUGGCCGGGGAAGGCCCAGGGUGAGGAGCCAAGGUCCAGGGAACCCCGGGGGCGUGGAGGCGCUGGAUGUCAUGAUCGCUUUUUCCCAUAAAUUCUAUCCUGGCCCCAGGAGAAGAGUCAUGUUUUGUUCGUUGUUUUUUAAUGG
rnacentral:lncRNA from 1 species